AGAGUUUGAUCCUGGCUCAGGAUGAAUGCUGGCGGCGUGCCUAACACAUGCAAGUCGAGCGGUAAGGCCCCUCCGGGGGUACACGAGCGGCGGACGGCUGAGUAACGCGUGGGAACAUGCCCCAAAGUGAGGAAUAAGCUCCAGAAAUGGAGUCUAAUGCCGCAUAUGAUCUUCGGAUUAAAGGAUUUAUCCGCUUUGGGAGUGGCCUGCGUACGAUUAGAUAGUUGGUGAGGUAAUGGCUUACCAAGUCUACGAUCGUUAACUGGUCUGAGAGGAUGAUCAGUCAGACUGGAACUGAGACACGGUCCAGACUCCUACGGGAGGCAGCAGUGAGGAAUCUUCCACAAUGGGCGAAAGCCUGAUGGAGCAACGCCGCGUGAAGGAUGAAGGCCCUCGGGUCGUAAACUUCUUUUAUGAGUGAAGAAUAUGACGGUAACUCAUGAAUAAGGGUCGGCUAACUACGUGCCAGCAGCCGCGGUCAUACGUAGGACCCAAGCGUUAUCCGGAGUGACUGGGCGUAAAGAGUUGCGUAGGUGGUCAGUAAAGCGAAUGGUGAAAUCUGGGGGCUCAACCUCACAGACUAUCAUUCGAACUCACUGACUCGAGAACAGCAGAGGUAACUGGAAUUUCUGAAGUAGGGGUAAUAUCCGUAGAUAUCAGAAGGAACACCAAUGGCGUAGGCAGGUUACUGGGCUGUUUCUGACACUGAGGCACGAAAGCGUGGGGAGCGAGCCGGAUUAGAUACCCUGGUAGUCG
rnacentral:rRNA from 1 species